UACUUACAGUGACUGAAAACUGCAACUGAAU
rnacentral:piRNA from 1 species